rnacentral:rRNA from 1 species
UGGGGAAUUUUGGACAAUGGGGGAAACCCUGAUCCAGCCAUCCCGCGUGUGCGAUGAAGGCCUUCGGGUUGUAAAGCACUUUUGGCAGGAAAGAAACGUCGCGGGUUAAUACCCCGCGAAACUGACGGUACCUGCAGAAUAAGCACCGGCUAACUACGUGCCAGCAGCCGCGGUAAUACGUAGGGUGCAAGCGUUAAUCGGAAUUACUGGGCGUAAAGCGUGCGCAGGCGGUUCGGAAAGAAAGAUGUGAAAUCCCAGAGCUUAACUUUGGAACUGCAUUUUUAACUACCGGGCUAGAGUGUGUCAGAGGGAGGUGGAAUUCCGCGUGUAGCAGUGAAAUGCGUAGAUAUGCGGAGGAACACCGAUGGCGAAGGCAGCCUCCUGGGAUAACACUGACGCUCAUGCACGAAGGCGUGGGGAGCAAACAGGAUUAGAUACCCUGGUAGUCCACGCCCUAAACGAUGUCAACUAGCUGUUGGGGCCUUCGGGCCUUGGUAGCGCAGCUAACGCGUGAAGUUGACCGCCUGGGGAGU